UUUUUUUUUUUUUGUUUUUUUGGUUUUUUUCCACUAAAGAAAUGAAGAAAUUGAAUGUCAGAGAGGUUAAGCAACUUGCCAAAAUGCUAAUAAGCCUGGCAGUUCAGGUAAGGGAGGUUUCUUCACUUCCAACCCAAUGUAUCCCUGGACCAUCAGUAGUAACAUGAGGCCUGACCAGCACAUUCCACGUUCCUGCACUGUGCCCCAGGAAUUCCAGGAUCUAUAAAUUCAAGUGCUGACCAAAUUUAGGUGACUAUGAGUUCUGAUGAUCUCACCAGUUGCAAAGUACUGAAAUAUAUCUCGUUCCAUUCAAAUUCUUGCCUUUAUAAUUUAGUUCUUUCUCAGAUUAUGUCACAUGCUACUUACUCACAGAUUUUGAAAUGAGAGUCUAAAAUAAGAUGAAAGGCAGGAAAUUCCAACUUAGAACUGAUUGCUGUCCAGAACCAGGCAUUAAAGUGAAAAGACAAAACCACCUCCUUGAAUAAUGCCUUAUUUUUUACAUUUUCUCCAAUUACUCUCGAGUAAUUUUUAAAAUGUCACAUACAUUUAUGUAUUUAUGUGUUAAAUACAUUAAGGAACAUAGAUUAAAAGGUUAUUUCUAAAAAUCUAAAGAUUUACUUAUCUAGAAUUCUUACAGUAUCCAAUCUGAGUCUUCAAAUUAGCUCCUUUAUGAUUUUUUUCUAUUACAAUUUUUAAACAUUUUUCUCUACCAAAAGAAUAUUCAAAUUGCUCUCUAUGGUUUUAAAAUAAAUGUUUUGGGGAUCCCUGGGUGGCUCAGCGGUGUAGCACCUGCUUUUGACCCCGGGCGUGAUCCUGGAGUCCCGGGAUCGAGUCCCGCAUCGGGCUCCCGGCAUGAAGCCUGCUUCUCCCUCCUCCUGUGUCUCUGCCUCUCUCUCUCUCUCUCUCUCUCUCUCUCUCUGUCUAUCAUAAAUAAAUAAAUAAAUCUUUAAAAAAUAAAAAAAUAAAAAAAUGAAAAUAAAAUAAAUGUUUUAUGUUAAUAUAAUCAAAAUAAUCUUUACACUAUAUUUAUAAUAAAACUGAUACCAAAGAUCUUACUAACCAAAAAAAAAAAAAAAAUCUUAUUGACCAACAAAUGUCUAAUCUGAAUAGCUAAAAUCUCCAUAUUCAUAAUCUUACUUCAAUUACUAUUCAGUUACCUAGAAUUUAUUAAAGCAUCACAGAAUGUAUUUUAUAGGUAUUUUACUUGUAUUUCCUCCUCUCAAAAAUGAUUCUAAUUUUGUGCACUGGUUCUCUAAAAUAAUUUACUUCUUAGCAAAUAUUAUCUUGGAACAAACUGAAGUAUUUAGGGAGUAAUGAUAUGACAUUACGGAUCCUCUGUAAAAUAUUCCACUUACCCUCAAAAGGGUGAGGGAGGGGGAUGAUAGAUAAAACAAGAAUGUCUAAAUGUCGAUAAUAGAGGAGUACAUUCAAGUUCAUAAUACUGUUCCAGUUUUAUGUAUAUUUGAAAAUUUCCAUAAGUUUUUUAGGCCUCCCACCAUUAAAGACACAGAGAGAAGUCACUACCUAUGAACCAAGGAAGAGGGUCUUCAUCAAACCAUACUGUCACUGUAAUCUCAGAUUGUCAGCCUCCAGAACUGUGAGAAUUAAAUUUGGGGGUUUUUAAGAUAUAUUUAUUAGAGAGAGAGAAAGCAUGAAUGGGAGGGACAGAGGAAGAGGGAAAGAGAAUCUCCUGCAGAUUCCAUGCUUAGUGCAGAGCCCCAAGUGGGACUCGAUUCCACUACCCUGAGACCAUGAUCCCAACCGAAACCAAUAGUCAGACACUCAACUGACUGCACCACUCAAGCAUCCCAUCCCUGUUGUUUUGCUAAGUUUUUUAAAAUCUCAUAUAUUGGUUCUUACCAGGGGCCAGGCAAAAUUAUAAGCACUUUACCUAUAUAAACUCAUUUAACCCUCCAACAACUCUAUGAGAUAGGUACUCAUUUUACAGAUAAAGAAACUGAGGGGGCAGCCCGGGUGGCACAGUGGUUUAGCGCCGCCUGCAGCCCAGGGCAUGAUCCUGGAGACCUGGGAUGGAGUCCCACGUCUGGCUCCCUGCAUGAAGCCUGCUUCUCCCUCUGCCUGUGUCUCUGCCUCUCUCUCUGUGUGUGUCUCUAUGAAAAAAAUAAAUAAAAUCUUAAAAAAAAAAAAAAAACUGAGGCAUGGAAAGUUAGGUAGAUCAUAAAGUAAGCUGAAAUUCAAAUCCAGAUUUUCUGGGUACAUGUGGACAUGGAAAAGCCUGGAAAAUACAUGUUAUGGGUGAUUUUUAUUUUUGCUUGUUUCUAUUUUCUAAGUUUUUCACAAGAACAUGUGUUUUUAUAAUUUUGAAUAGUUACCAAAACAUUUAUUCAGAUGCUAACAUGUUCUUGAGAAGCAAAAGGUAUGACUUUCUGAAACCAAAUUACUGCAAGUAUAGAAAUUCAUCACUAACAAGUGUCAUACAGUGAUCAACAAACUAGGAAAAUUUUAGAAAUGAUAAAAGAUUACUUUGUUAUUAGCCAUUUUACCAGUGCUUUAUGGAAAGAAUAAUAUUGAAACAAGGUCAUGUAAUUUAACUAGAUAGAUACAAUUAACUUUAGACCACUUAAAACCUUCUUCCAUUUUUAAAGAGAAACAUAACUAUUAUAAUUUUCCAAUUUAGACUCCUGGGAAAUUUUACACCAAAAUAAAAGCUCUCAUUCUUCAAAAGAAUUAUAUUUGAUUACACAUAAAUAGGCUUAGAAGUUAAAUGCCAACAUUUGUCUUGAUUGCUGCUAACAGACCAUUCAACCUCAUUUCUUAUUUUCCAUGAAAACAAAAUUAUUAAGAGUUACAGUUCAGUUAUUUUAACUUGCAUUCUUAGUACUUAUGCUGAAGAGCAAUGAGCAAAGGAAUUUUUUACAGGAAGAUAGUAAAUUUUGCAGCUAUUAACUAAGUCAAUGGUAGCCCAAGAUGGGCAUGGAGACUAUAUUCCAGUCCUGAAUGGAUGAAUACAAUCACAAAAACAAGAUCACACUGCUGGAAUCAUUCAGAAAUAAAACAGUGCAGUGUGAAGCAAUAUCAUGUUUUUUGCAAACCCUAAGACUGUCCAUCAUGAAGAUGAACAAACGUCUUUAAUCCAAUUAUGCUUACAGUCUUGUACACUUCUAUCAUCAUCAUGACAGAGCAACCUGACAUAGAGACCGAAGUACAUGGGGCUCAGGGUCAGUGCAAAGGGAACAAAGAACAAAGCCUAGACAAAUCCUGGCAGCACCAACCAUUAAAAUCUAUGAUAAUCACUUACUACCUCAGAGCCUGUUUCCUUUUUGGUUAAAUAUAGGGACACCUGCCUCACAAGUGGUUAGAGUAACAUUAUGAGUGUGCCUGAAAGCCAAGAGGAUCUUGACAUAGUAGAUACUCUAAAAAUAUGUCCCCUCCCUCCCUUGAUACCAUGUGGGAUGGUCAAGGGAGGUGAAUGAUGGAAGAAAACUUGAGUUUUAGUUAUUUUUUUUAUUUUUUUUAAAUUUUUUUAAUUUAAUUAUUCAUAGAGACACAGAGAGAGAGAGGCAGAGACACAGGCAGAGGGAGAAGCAGGCUCCAUGCAGAAGCCCAACGUGGGACUCGAUCAGGGUCUCCAGGAUCAUGACCCUGGCCGAAGGCAGCGCUAAACCACUGGGCCACCGGGGCUGCCCUUGAGUUUUAGUUGUAAGUAGGUUUUCCCUGAUCAAAGACCAGUGGGAUCUUGUAUGUAAGUCGCCAGCCUCAAAGUCAGAAACUAUAUGAGAUUCCCACUCAAAAUAUAGCUGAAUUUUAACAUACCUGCUGAAAACCUUUCAAUAGCUUCCCACUACACUUUGUAAUAAAAUAAAAACUUCUUAGAAAUAGUGAAAUGGACCAUAAGGGAAAGGAGGAAAACUGAGUGGAGAAAAAUUAGAGAGGAAGACAAACCAUGAGAGAUUCCUGGCUCUGGAAACAAAUAAAGGGUUGCAGCAGAAGGGGAGGUUGGUGGGGAGAUGAAGUGACUGGAUGACGAGUAUUAAGGAGAACACAUGAUGAGAUUAGCACUGGGUGUUAUACUAUAUGUUGGCAAAUUGAAUUUAAAUAUUUAAAAAAAAAAAAAAAAAAACUUCUUAGCAUGGCCAAAAGGUCCUACAUGAUUUGGUCUUACAACUCACCCUUAGUCAGGAAGCUUUAACCACAAUGAGCCCAAUGUGUUCCAUGAACCCCCCAAGCUCUUUCCAGCUCCAGGUCUGGAACUCUCAGGACCCUCAGCCUCAAGCAUCCUUGCCUUCUUGUUCAAACAGCUGACUCUUUAUGUCCUCCAUGUCUUCCCUUGAGCCUUCCCUAUACCAUUGCAUCAAGUAGCUCCCAACCGACUACCCCCAGUGACCCAUUACUUUCCUUCACAGCUUUAUAACAAUUUCAAAUGAUCAUCAUUUACUUAUUUCUGCUGCCCCUCUCUGCCUCCCA
rnacentral:lncRNA from 1 species